rnacentral:lncRNA from 1 species
GACAGAGGAUCCCAGCCUCCUCACGUGGCUCCUGCCCAGCUUGGAGAAAAGACAGUGAGCAUCUUGCCUCAGAAGCACAGUUUCUACAAAUUUCAAGAAGACAGGCAGCCGAAGAAAAAUACCCCAUCAACUGCCAGUGGGGGAAGUGCCACAACACAGAUGCCACCUCUGUUAUGCACCAGAUGAUCCAAAUGCAUGGUAGAAAGCUUAUUCUGCUGUGACUGCUCAAGGACACUCCAGGUGCAGCUCAAGGAACUUCGACUACAAGAGAGAUUUGUUCUGUUUCAGUAUUGGCUCCGUGGACAGGUGGAUGUGAUAUUAAAAGCCUGGAGGCAGGGCUGAGCACCAUCGAGUCGUUGUGGCUGCUCUGCACAGGGAGCGUGGCAGGAAACACUCGCUGA